rnacentral:rRNA from 1 species
UGGGGAAUUUUGGCAAUGGGCGAAGCCUGAUCCAGCAAUGCCGCGUGUGUGAAGAAGGCCUUCGGGUUGUAAAGCACUUUUGUCCGGAAAGAAAUCCUUGGCUCUAAUACAGUCGGGGGAUGACGGUACCGGAAGAAUAAGCACCGGCUAACUACGUGCCAGCAGCCGCGGUAAUACGUAGGGUGCAAGCGUUAAUCGGAAUUACUGGGCGUAAAGCGUGCGCAGGCGGUUUGCUAAGACCGAUGUGAAAUCCCCGGGCUCAACCCGGGAACUGCAUUGGUGACUGGCAGGCUAGAGUAUGGCAGAGGGGGGUAGAAUUCCACGUGUAGCAGUGAAAUGCGUAGAGAUGUGGAGGAAUACCGAUGGCGAAGGCAGCCCCCUGGGCCAAAUACUGACGCUCAUGCACGAAAGCGUGGGGAGCAAACAGGAUUAGAUACCCUGGUAGUCCCACGCCCUAAACGAUGUCAACUAGUUGUUGGGGAUUCAUCUCCUUAGUAACGUAGCUAACGCGUGAAGUUGACCGCCUGGGGAGUACGGUCGCAAGAUUAAAACUCAAAGGAAUUGACGGGGUCAUAGCUGUUUCCU